GUAGUCUCGCACAGAUGCAUAUCAAUAAGCGGAGGAAAAGAAACUAACAAGGAUUCCCCUAGUAACGGCGAGUGAAGCGGGAAGAGCUCAAAUUUGAAAUCUUAAAGGGUUUCCCUUUACGAAUUGUAGUUUAAAGAAGUGUUUUCUGUUGAGGUUUUGGUAAAAGUUCUUUGGAAUAGGACAUCAUAGAGGGUGAGAAUCCCGUAUUUGACCUUUACUUUCAACUUUGUGAUACACUUUCAAAGAGUCGGAUUGUUUGGGAAUGCAGUCCAAAAUGGGUGGUAAAUUUCAUCUAAAGCUAAAUAUUGGCGAGAGACCGAUAGCGAACAAGUACCGUGAGGGAAAGAUGAAAAGAACUUUGAAAAGAGAGUUAAACAGUACGUGAAAUUGUCAAAAGGGAAGCGUUUGACACCAGUGUUGUUUUUCUGAAAAUCAAUUAAAGAACUGUUUAUGCUAAGUUGUUUAGACUUUAUCAGCUAACUGUUUAGUUUUGAGCUUUUCUUUAAUGCACUUUUCAGUUAACAAGUCAACAUCAAUUUCUUUUGCUGUAAAAAAGCUUGAGGAAGGUGGCUUGAGAUUCGUCUUAAGUGUUUAUAGCCUCUUGCCUAUGCAGUCGGAGAGAUUGAGGUCUGCAGCGUAGAUCCUUCGGGGCUAAAUGCAUUUGUGCUAAGUUAUAACAUUUUAUAGACAACUUGUUGACUAUGAUUUGUCUUGUAGCUUACUCGCUUAUGUUAUUUUACCUACGCUUAGGAUGUUGAUCUGUAGUGCGUGCGC
rnacentral:rRNA from 1 species